CCGUAUUUUUGAACGUCAGAUUAUUUGCUGAGGUGGGGCCCACACAUCGAGAUUUUUUUUGGGACAUCUGAAAAGUCAUAUGAAUCACAUAUGUGAAGUUAAACACAACUCAAGAAGGACCCUUGGGCCAAAUCAAAGUGGAAGUCCUCCAAACGAAUAUUUUUAAGAAAACGUUUUCGGGUGAUCUGACUUCUAGGGGCAAAAACGGUAUUAUAAGUUUGGAAUUUGGAAAAUACCAAGAAAUAGAAGUUGUAGAUAAUUGAAUUAGAUUUCCAACCAUAGGUCGUGGGUUCCCAGGUGACAUCGGUACAAGGAGAUAUGGACGUUUUAAGGUCGAAAGGUCAGUGGGCUAGGCCCAACUCGGGAUCAACCGAGUUGGCCCAAAAAAAUAAAAAACGAAUUAAGGCCCAAAGGAGAGGGGUGGCCGGCCAUCUUAUGGCCCAAGCCCACAAAAUUAAUAAAUUUCCCAUGUGAUAAUUAAUAUAAAGGAUCAUUAAAUUGUCUUGAAACAUUUAGAAGUUUCAAGACAAUUGAGAAAGAGAGAAACAAGAGAAAGAAGAGCAAGAAUAAGAAGGCCAUUUUCGGCCAAGCUCUAGACCAAAAAAAAAAGAAAAAAAAAAAAUUCAAAAAUCAUUUUCUACCAAUUAAAGGGUCCUUUACAACUUGGUGUAAUUAUUUUGGAAGGAAGAACACUUGUUUCUUCAAGUUGACAACUUGGUCAAGUGAAGAAGAUUGUAGAAAAAGAUUUUGGCGAACUUGAAACUUGAUUUUGGAGACGUGUAUGAAUCGGAAAAGGUCAACAGGUAGACAGAUUUGACUCUUAGAAGCUCCAUCAGCAGUACUGUGGCAGCGCUCCAGUUGUUCCGGAGCCUCAGUUUCUUGGUACUACUUUUGUGUACAUAUUUGGGCACGGUAGAACCGGUCCUUCUUGUAUAUGUAGAUGUACUUUGUUUAGAGGCUCGUAGACAGAUAUGUACAGUCAGAUGUUUUGUACUUUUGUGGUCCUCGUCGUUGUAUAAUGUGCUAGCAAAGUUUAUAAGUCCAUGUCUACAAUUAUGCCAUUAAUGUUAGCGUUAAGCAACAGAAAAAAAAAAAGAUAC